AGAGUUUGAUCCUGGCUCAGAACGAACGCUGGCGGCAUGCCUCAUACAUGCAAGUCGAACGAAGGCUUCGGCCUUAGUGGCGCACGGGUGAGUAGCGCGUGGGAACCUACCCUUUGUGGGGAUAACCGAGGGAAACUUCGGCUAAUACCGCAUACGCCGGGUAACCGGGAAAGAUUUAUCGCAGAAGGAUGGGCCCGCGU
rnacentral:rRNA from 1 species